rnacentral:lncRNA from 1 species
GAAACAAGGAGCCCCCUGUCACCUUCUUUUAAAACAGAUCUUUCUGUCUCUGUCUUCAUUUCUCCAUUCAUCCCCCUUCAUUCAAUCCUGUAGCAACUGGCAGUGACAAGUGGUGCCCAGGACAGGGACAUGAGCAAAGAAGGUCUGCUGGAGCAGAGAAAGUGAAACUGACCAGAUGAGCAAGAAACCUUGGGACAAGUCUACUGGCAGCUAAUAUAAGCACAUACCAAG